UACGGGGGGAGCAAGCGUUGUUCGGAUUUACUGGCGUAAAGGGCGCGUAGGCGGCCACCGCAAGUCGACUGUGAAAUCUCCGGGCUUAACCCGGAAAGGUCAGCCGAUACUGCGGGGCUAGAGUGCAGAAGGGGCAACUGGAAUUCUCGGUGUAGCGGUGAAAUGCGUAGAUAUCGAGAGGAACACCUGCGGCGAAGGCGGGUUGCUGGGCUGACACUGACGCUGAUGUGCGAAAGCUAGGGGAGCGAACGGG
rnacentral:rRNA from 1 species